UACGGAGGGUGCAAGCGUUAAUCGGAAUUACUGGGCGUAAAGCGCACGCAGGUGGCUGAGUCAGUCGAUUGUGAAAGCCCUGGGCUUAACCUGGGAAUUGCAGUCGAUACUACUUAGCUAGAGUAUGGGAGAGGGCAGUGGAAUUCCCGGUGUAGCGGUGAAAUGCGUAGAUAUCGGGAGGAACAUCAGUGGCGAAGGCGGCUGCCUGGCCCAAUACUGACGCUCAUGUGCGAAAGCGUGGGGAGCAAACAGG
rnacentral:rRNA from 1 species